AGAGACAAGACGGUUAAGGUUGGUGUAGGUUGGCCUCUCAAUGUUCAGGGAACGCCUGCAAAUGUCAUAGAUGGCUUCAUUGUCGAGGAGGAUAGAGACAUCAGUGUGUUCCAAGAGCGAGUGAGUGGAGAGGACACUGUUGUAAGGCUCAACAACAGAGGUGGAGACCUGUGGAGAAGGGUAAACAGUGAAACCGAGCUUGGACUUUUUCCCAUAGUCGACAGAAAGCCUCUCAAGGAGAAGAGAUCCCAGCCCAGAUCCAGU
rnacentral:lncRNA from 1 species